rnacentral:rRNA from 1 species
UUGAACGCUGGCGGAAUGCUUUACACAUGCAAGUCGAGCGGCAGCGCGGGGCAACCUGGCGGCGAGCGGCGAACGGGUGAGUAACACAUCGGAACGUACCCUGUCGUGGGGGAUAACGAAUCGAAAGAUUCGCUAAUACCGCAUACGACCUGAGGGUGAAAGCAGGGGAUCGCAAGACCUUGCGCGACAGGAGCGGCCGAUGUCGGAUUAGCUAGUUGGUGGGGUAAAGGCCUACCAAGGCGGCGAUCCGUAGCUGGUCUGAGAGGAUGAUCAGCCACACUGGGACUGAGACACGGCCCAGACUCCUACGGGAGGCAGCAGUGGGGAAUUUUGGACAAUGGGCGCAAGCCUGAUCCAGCCAUGCCGCGUGAGUGAAGAAGGCCUUCGGGUUGUAAAGCUCUUUCAGACGGAAAGAAAUCGGGCGCGUGAAUAGCGUGCCUGGAUGACGGUACUGUCAGAAGAAGCACCGGCUAACUACGU